rnacentral:rRNA from 1 species
CCUACGGGAGGCAGCAGUGGGGAAUAUUGCACAAUGGGGGAAACCCUGAUGCAGCAACGCCGCGUGAGUGAAGAAGUAUUUCGGUAUGUAAAGCCCUAUCAGCAGGGAAGAGAGUGACGGUACCUGACCAAGAAGCCCCGGCUAACUACGUGCCAGCAGCCGCGGUAAUACGUAGGGGGCGAGCGUUAUCCGGAUUUACUGGGUGUAAAGGGAGCGUAGACGGUUCUGCAAGUCUGAAGUGAAAGCCCGUGGCCCAACCGCGGGACGGCUUUGGAAACUGCGGAACUGGAGUGCUGGAGGGGCAAGCGGAAUUCCUAGUGUAGCGGUGAAAUGCGUAGAUAUUAGGAGGAACACCAGUGGCGAAGGCGGCUUACUGGACAGUAACUGACGUUGAGGCUCGAAGGCGUGGGGAGCAAACAGGAUUAGAUACCCCGGUAGUC